UUGACACAUGGGGUCCACGUUACAGCUCCACCGGCUUCUCCCCUUCCUCUCUGGCUCUCUCUGCUCAUCUUCCCUCACCAACAGGAUUUCCGGCUAGGGCGUGGGACGGCGGCGGCCGUCCCUUGCGUUCAGGCCAUGAGCGCCCCCGCCGCCGUCCGUCCGCCGGGAGGCAAGCGCCGCCCCUGCCCGCCUCAUCCCGCGUGGCCCCGUGCCACGGGGUCGACGGCGUGGGCUCAGCGCGCCUCCGCCGCCGCCACGUGCGUCACCCCACGCCUCGGGGAUGACGGCCGGGAACGCCCUGCGCCACGAGGUCGAUGGCCGUGGCCGCUGCGCCGAGUGCUCGCGUGCCUCGCCCCACGCGGCCGUGUGGUCCACGGUCGAGCUCGCCGCGCCGCCGAGAUCCUCGCCCCGCGCAUCCCGGGGCCACAGGGUCGACGGCUAAGGCCCGCCGCGGCGCCACCAGGUGCGUCGUCUCGUGGCCUCGUACUCCUCCAUGCCGUCAGGGAGCGGCCAUCUGACCUCACCGCGGGGCGCCCGUGCCGGCGACGGUCGGCGCGAGGUGCAGGGGGCAGCGCCGAGCGUCCACGUGGCCCCGCUGGAGAUGUGCCGCCGCCGUCCCACCCCCUGCCGAGAAUCUUGUUGGUGAGAGAGGGAAGAAAGGUGAGGAAGAGAGAGGAAGGAAGAAGACAGUGAAGCUGACAGGUGGGCCCCACAUGUCAGUACACGUCAGCAUAACAAUCAGCAUGCCACGCUAGCGGUUUAAAACGGGUAAGGUAACGGUGAUUUGGACUUCAUGUGAAGCGAUUAGCAAUAUGCAUUUUGGGUUCACUGAGAAGUUAAAGGGUGUGCAAUUUACUCAAAUAAUAAUGAGUAGGUCCUAGUGUGCAAGGAGGGCACGUUUUGUAUUUUGCACUGGUUCUUUUGCUGUGAACAUGUGGCUGACAGGCUGAGGCUGUCAGGCAUGCAAAACACCAGGCAAUGCACAGGUAGACCAUGCAAGGGGCAACUGAAGCGCUUGAGUCAUAUCUUCUGUGUUUCCUCUCUCACCUACAUAGAGGCAACCAGGGAAUCCAUCUUUGGCUACCAACUAUUGGCAGGAGAAAAGAAUAAUCCUGAAGCGGCAUCAUGUCGAUUCCUUCUUCAGUCAUCAAUCUUGUUGCGUUCUUCGCACUACUAUGUCAAAUCCCAGCAGCCUCCUCUGGUGUACUUUCACCUUUCUGGAAGAUGGAAUCUUCAAUGUUGCACACAAGCUCAAGAAGGAUUGACUCGCCGUCUGCCUACCAGCACGCUCUCGGGAGGUUCCGUGAUACGUUCACGUACAGCUCCACCAAAGACCUCUGCGCCCACCCGCUCCUCCCCGACCAGACGAGGCCGGACGAAGAACCGGAGCUGUGGUUACCCAUACACCUCCACGGAUGGGACGGCGACGAGGUGACACUGCUGUUCAGGAACGACAACUGGCAUGUUCGCUUCAGCUUAUAAGCCGGCUGAAAAGCUGAAACGGCUGAUUUGUUGUGAGAGAAAAACACUGUUUGGUGGCUGAUAAGCCGGCUGAAUAAGCUGAAGCGAACAGGCCGAACAUGAACCUGGCCGGGUUCGCCAACAAGUCCGGGACAUGGUUCUCCUUCGACGGCUGCGAGCAUCUCAUCCCCGGCUCCAUCCCCACGGGGUUCCGAGCCAACUUCCAGGACCUCAUCGGCGGGUGGCGGAACCUGAACACGAUCCCUCUAGGGGAGAACGCGCUCAAGCUAGCGGUAAGGAACCUCUCCUCGACUCCUCCGGCUUCGAUCCGUCCACUGCCAGUGCCAGGGACAGGGAUGACGCGAAGGUAUCGGCGGCGCAGCUGAUGGUCAUGGUCCCGGGGGCUCUGCGGUUCUUCCCGGUGAAGCAGAAGGUGAUGGAUGGGUGGGAGAGUGGGAGCUUCCUUGAAGCUCUUGGAGAGAGGGCGUUGCUUGUCAGUUGGAAGGAUUUCAUGGCGAGCCUGAUGAAGUGGAAUGAGACGAAGCAGUGGAAGCCGCUGAUGAUUGCGCCGGCGGUGAUUCGCAAGUACAAGAUAGAGAAUGAGCAGGAUGCACUCAGAGUUGUGGAUUUGCUGUUCGUCCCACGUAGCGAUGGAUUAAGUUGGUGAACCUUGUCAUGUCCAAACUUAUCCUAGUCUAAGAAUCACAAUGAGUGAAGUUAACUUUUAGAUUUUCCUUUCGUUGGGUGAGCAUUUAUGUAUUUGGGGGUUCAGACUCCAAAUUACUCAUCUCCAAUUUAGUUUAAACCUGUUAUAUCAACAUGUUUUCACUUGACCUCGGAAAUGAAUUAUAUCCAAAUUAUCUUGCAGCA